rnacentral:rRNA from 1 species
ACGGCGAGUGAAGCGGUAAAAGCUCAAAUUUGAAAUCUGGUACUUUCAGUGCCCGAGUUGUAAUUUGUAGAAUUUGUCUUUGAUUAGGUCCUUGUCUAUGUUCCUUGGAACAGGACGUCAUAGAGGGUGAGAAUCCCGUUUGGCGAGGAUACCUUUUCUCUGUAAGACUUUUUCGAAGAGUCGAGUUGUUUGGGAAUGCAGCUCAAAGUGGGUGGUAAAUUCCAUCUAAAGCUAAAUAUUGGCGAGAGACCGAUAGCGAACAAGUACAGUGAUGGAAAGAUGAAAAGAACUUUGAAAAGAGAGUGAAAAAGUACGUGAAAUUGUUGAAAGGGAAGGGCAUUUGAUCAGACAUGGUGUUUUUUGCAUGCACUCGCCUCUCGUGGGCUUGGGCCUCUCAAAAAUUUCACUGGGCCAACAUCAAUUCUGGCAGCAGGAUAAAUCAUUAAGAAUGUAGCUACUUCGGUAGUGUUAUAGCUUUUUGGAAUACUGUUAGCCGGGAUUGAGGACUGCGCUUCGGCAAGGAUGUUGGCAUAAUGGUUAAAUGCCGCCCGUCUUG